UCUGUUGUUAGAGAAGACGGUGUGAUAGUACUGUUCAUGCAGUGACGGUAUCUAACCAGAAAGCCACGGCUAACUACGUGCCAGCAGCCGCGCUAAUACGUAGGUGGCAAGCGUUGUCUGGAUUUAUUGGGCGUAAAGGGAUCGCAGGCGGUCUUUUAAGUCUGAUGUGAAAGCCUUCGGCUUAACCGAAGUCGUGCAUUGGAAACUGGGAGACUUGAGUGCAGAAGAGGAGAGUGGAACUCCAUGUGUAGCGAUGAAAUGCGUAGAUAUAUGUUACAACACCAGUGGCGAAAGCGGCUCUCUGAACUGUAACUGACGCUGAGGUUCGAAAGCGUGGGUAGCAAACAGGAUUAGAUACCCUGGCAGUCUGCGCUGUAAACGAUGAAUGCUAAGUGUUGGAGGGAUUCCGCCCGUCUGUGCUGCAGCUAACGCAUUAGGCAUUCCGCCUGUGGAGUACGAUCGCGAGGGUGAAACUCAAAAGAAUUGACGG
rnacentral:rRNA from 1 species